UAAGGUACUUAAGACAAUGAAAUGCUGAUGAAUCGUGUCAGGUCCGGAAGGAAGCAGCACUAAGUUAGUUAUUUCAUGUGUCUUAAGUUUUUAUUUU
rnacentral:SRP_RNA from 1 species